UACGGAGGGAGCUAGCGUUGUUCGGAAUUACUGGGCGUAAAGCGCACGUAGGCGGCUUUGUAAGUUAGAGGUGAAAGCCCGGAGCUCAACUCCGGAAUUGCCUUUAAGACUGCAUCGCUUGAAUCCGGGAGAGGUGAGUGGAAUUCCGAGUGUAGAGGUGAAAUUCGUAGAUAUUCGGAAGAACACCGGUGGCGAAGGCGGCGAUCUGGGUCGAUACUGACGCUGAGGUGCGAAAGCGUGGGGAGCAAACAGG
rnacentral:rRNA from 1 species